rnacentral:sRNA from 1 species
CUCAACCGCAAGGAGGGGGAUGCCUAAGGCAGGGCUAGUGACUGGGGUGAAGUCGUAACAAGGUAGCCGUACCGGAAGGUGUGGCUGGAUCACCUCCUUAAAGGGAGACCUAAUUCAGGUAGGAGACGAAAAAAAAGUAGUCCCUACCAAGAAUCAAUCCCAAAAGGUCGGAGCGAGGCGAAAUUGGCUUUCAAACUAGGUUCUGGGUUCACACAAGACCUGAAUCAGGAACAAGGGCUAUUAGCUCAGGUGGUUAGAGCGCACCCCUGAUAAGGGUGAGGUCCCUGGUUCGAGUCCAGGAUGGCCCACCUGCACAGGUGGCAAAAACAAAGAAGCGAGGAAUCAGCACCUUAUCUUACUUAUAUAGUAAGAGAGAAUGCUGGCUCUGAGUAAAGAGUCCAGAGGAACCUUGAAAACUGCAUAGAGCUAGGUGAAAAAGCCAAAAAAGAAGACCGCAAGGUCAAGCUAAUAAGGGCUAACGGUG